rnacentral:rRNA from 1 species
GAUGAACGCUGGCGGCGUGCCUAAUACAUGCAAGUCGAGCGAACAGACGAGGAGCUUGCUCCUCUGACGUUAGCGGCGGACGGGUGAGUAACACGUGGAUAACCUACCUAUAAGACUGGGAUAACUUCGGGAAACCGGAGCUAAUACCGGAUAAUAUAUUGAACCGCAUGGUUCAAUAGUGAAAGACGGUUUUGCUGUCACUUAUAGAUGGAUCCGCGCCGCAUUAGCUAGUUGGUAAGGUAACGGCUUACCAAGGCAACGAUGCGUAGCCGACCUGAGAGGUUGAUCGGCCACACUGGAACUGAGACACGGUCCAGCCUCCUACGGGAGGCAGCAGUAGGGAAUCUUCCGCAAUGGGCGAAAGCCUGACGGAGCAACGCCGCGUGAGUGAUGAAGGUCUUCGGAUCGUAAAACUCUGUUAUUAGGGAAGAACAAAUGUGUAAGUAACUAUGCACGUCUUGACGGUACCUAAUCAGAAAGCCACGGCUAACUACGUG